GGCUGCAACUCGCCUGCAUGAAGUUGGAAUUGCUAGUAAUCGCGAAUCAGAAUGUCGCGGUGAAUACGUUCCCGGGCCUUGUACACACCGCCCGUCAAGCCAUGGAAGCUGGGGGUGCCUGAAGUUCGUGACCGCAAGGAGCGACCUAGGGCAAAACCGGUGACUGGGGCUAAGUCGUAACAAGGUAUC
rnacentral:rRNA from 1 species